UACGUAGGGGCAAGCGUUGUCCGGAUUUAUUGGGCGUAAAGAGCGUGUAGGCGGCCAGAUAGGUCCGUUGUGAAACUGGAGGCUUAACCUCCAGCGGUCGAUGGAAACCAUCUGGCUAGAGUCCGGAAGAGGAAAGUGGAAUUCCGUGGUGUAGCGGUGAAUGACGCAGAUAUCAGGAGAACACCCGUGGCGAAGGCGGCUUCUGGGACGGUACUGACGCUGAGACGCGAAGCGUGGGGAGCGAACAGG
rnacentral:rRNA from 1 species